AUUGAACGCUGGCGGCAGGCUUAACACAUGCACGUCGAACGAGUGGCGGACGGGUGAGUAAUGCUUGGGCAUCUAGCUUAUGGAGGGGGAUAACUACGGGAAACUGUAGCUAAUACCGCGUACAAUAGGAUGAGCCCAAGUGGGAUUAGGUAGUUGGUGCGGUAAAGGCUCACCAAGCCGACGAUCUCUAGCUGGUCUGAGAGGAUGACCAGCCACACGGGGACUGAUACACGGCCCAGACUCCUACGGGAGGCAGCAGUGGGGAAGAUUGCGCAAAGGAGGCAACCCUGACGCAGCCAUGCCGCGUGAAUGAAGAAGGCCUUAGGAUUGUAAAGUACUUUCAGCGGGGAGGCGUUACCCGAAGAAGAAGCACCGGCUAACUCGGUGCCAGCAGCCGCGGUAAUAC
rnacentral:rRNA from 1 species